GAGCCCUGAGAGAUGAUCAGGUAGAUAGGUUAGAAGUGGAAGUGUGGCGACACAUGUAGCGGACUAAUACUAAUAGCUCGAGGACUUAUCCAAA
rnacentral:rRNA from 1 species